GCGGGCGUGGCGGAAUUGGUAGACGCGCUAGACUUAGGAUCUAGAGCUUAACAGCGUGGGGGUUCGAGUCCCUUCGCCCGUA
rnacentral:tRNA from 1 species